rnacentral:rRNA from 1 species
AGGGUGCAGGGCGGAUGCCUUGGCACUAGGAGCCGAUGAAGGACGUGAUAAGCUGCGAUAAGCUUCGGGGAGUUGCACGUAAACUUUGAUCCGAAGAUUUCCGAAUGAGGAAACUCACUUAGAGUAAUGUCUAAGUAUCGUUAAGUGAAUACAUAGCUUAGCGAGGGGAACCCGGGGAACUGAAACAUCUAAGUACCCGGAGGAAGAGAAAGAAAUUCGAUUCCGUAAGUAGCGGCGAGCGAACGCGGAACAGGCCAAACCAAUGAAGUUUACUUCGUUGGGGUUGCGGACAUACAACAUGGAUGCAAUAUCGUAAAUGAAGAGAGUUGGAAAGCUCCGCCAUAGAAGGUAAUAGCCCUGUAGUUGAAACGAGAAAGCUACUAGUAUGAUCCAGAGUACCACGGGACACGUGAAACCCUGUGGGAAGCAGGAGGGACCAUCCUCCAAGCCUAAAUACUACCUAGUGACCGAUAGCGCAUAGUACCGUGAGGGAAAGGUGAAAAGAACCCCGGGAGGGGAGUGAAAUAGAACCUGAAACCCUGCACUUACAAGCUGUGGGAGCACAUUACUUGUGUGACCGCGUACUUUUUGUAGAACGGGCCAACGAGUUACGUUAAGUAGCAAGGUUAAGCACUUAAGGUGUGGAGCCGUAGCGAAAGCGAGUCUUAAAUGGGCGAUUAAGUUACUUGGCGUAGACCCGAAACCGGGCGACCUAUCCAUGAGCAGGUUGAAGCGAAAGUAAAAUUUCGUGGAGGACCGAACCCACGAGCGUUGAAAAGCUCGGGGAUGACUUGUGGAUAGCGGUGAAAUUCCAAUCGAACCCGGAGAUAGCUGGUUCUCCCCGAAAUAGCUUUAGGGCUAGCGUCGAGGUAAGUUGCGUGAAGGUAGAGCACUGAAUAUGUGAUGGCCCCAUCUCGGGGUACUGAGCAUAAUCAAACUGCGAAUGUCACGAUAACAUGCUCGGCAGUCAGACAGCGGGUGAUAAGGUCCGUUGUCAAGAGGGAAACAGCCCAGACCAUCAGCUAAGGUCCCAAAAUGUAUGCUAAGUGGAAAAGGAUGUGGAGAUGUACAGACAACUAGGAGGUUGGCUCAGAAGCAGCCAUCCUUUAAAGAGUGCGUAACAGCUCACUAGUCGAAUGACUCUGCGCCGAUAAUUUACCGGGGCUAAGCAUACUACCGAAGCUAUGGAUCCCAAGGGAUGGUAGGGGAGCGUUCCAUGAACGGAGAAGUACGACCGAAAGGACGUGUGGAGAUCAUGGAAGAGAGAAUGCCGGUGUGAGUAGCGGAACGUGGGUGAGAAUCCCACGCACCGAAAACCCAAGGUUUCCAGAGGAAGGUUCGUCCGCUCUGGGUAAGUCGGGACCUAAGGCGAGGCCGAAAGGCGUAGUCGAUGGACAACAGGUAGAGAUUCCUGUACCCGUAUAUAUGUGAAGGAAUGACGGAGAGAGGAAGCUGCAGCCAGCGGCUGGAAGAGCUGGUGCAAGCGAGAUAUCGGGAUGGCAGGCAAAUCCACCAUCCGAAACGAGAAGGCGUGAAGCGUACGGAAAGCUACGGCGAGUACGGAAGGCAGUGGAGGAACUUCCAAGAAAAGUUUCUAACGUUAAGUAUAUAUGGCCCGUACCGAAAAUGGACACACAUGGGUGAGGAGAGAAUCCUAAGGUGAGCGAGAGAACUAUAGCUAAGGAACUCUGCAAAAUGACUCCGUAACUUAGGGAGAAGGAGUGCUCAUAGAGAUAUGAGCCGCAGUGAAACGGCCCAAGCGACUGUUUACCAAAAACACAGCUCUCUGCUAAGCCGCAAGGCGAAGUAUAGGGGGUGACGCCUGCCCGGUGCUGGAAGGUUAAGGGGAGGGGUUAACGCAAGUGAAGCCCUGAACUGAAGCCCCAGUAAACGGCGGCCGUAACUAUAACGGUCCUAAGGUAGCGAAAUUCCUUGUCAGGUAAGUUCUGACCCGCACGAAAGGCGUAACGAUUUGGGCGCUGUCUCAGCUGUAGACUCGGUGAAGUCUUAGUACCUGUGAAGAUGCAGGUUACCCGCGACUAGACGGAAAGACCCCAUGGAGCUUCACUGCAGGUUGAUAUUGGGAUUUGAUGCAGCAUGUACAGGAUAGGUAGGAGGCAAAGAGAUGGAUACGCCAGUAUUCAAGGAGCCGCUGUUGGGAUACUACCCCUGUUGUAUUGGAUUUCUAACCGGACGACGUAGAGCCGUUGACGGGACAGUGUCAGUCGGGCAGUUUGACUGGGGCGGUCGCCUCCCAAAGAGUAACGGAGGCGCCCAAAGAUACCCUCAGCUUGGAUGGAAACCAAGCGCAGAGUGCAAAGGCAAAAGGGUGUUUGACUGCGAGACCCACAAGUCGAGCAGGGACGAAAGUCGGGCUUAGUGAUCCGGCGGUGCUGAAUGGAAAGGCCGUCGCUCAACGGAUAAAAGCUACCCUGGGGAUAACAGGCUGAUCUCCCCCAA